rnacentral:rRNA from 1 species
AUUGAACGCUGGCGGCAGGCCUAACACAUGCAAGUCGAGCGGAUGAAGGGAGCUUGCUUCUGGAUUCAGCGGCGGACGGGUGAGUAAUGCCUAGGAAUCUGCCUGGUAGUGGGGGACAACGUUUCGAAAGGAACGCUAAUACCGCAUACGUCCUACGGGAGAAAGCAGGGGACCUUCGGGCCUUGCGCUAUCAGAUGAGCCUAGGUCGGAUUAGCUAGUUGGUGAGGUAAUGGCUCACCAAGGCGACGAUCCGUAACUGGUCUGAGGGGAUGAUCAGUCACACUGGAACUGAGACACGGUCCAGACUCCUACGAGAGGCAGCAGUGGGGAAUAUUGGACAAUGGGCGAAAGCCUGAUCCAGCCAUGCCGCGUGUGUGAAGAAGGUCUUCGGAUUGUAAAGCACUUUAAGUUGGGAGGAAGGGUUGUAGAUUAAUACUCUGCAAUUUUGACGUUACCGACAGAAUAAGCACCGGCUAACUCUGUGCCAGCCGCCGCGGUAACAC